AACGAACGCUGGCGGCACGUUUUAAGCAUGCAAGUCGAAUGGCAGCAGGGGCAACUCUGUGAGAAUGGCGAACGGGUGAGUAACACGUAGGUGAUCUGCCUUGAGGAUGGGGAUAGCCUGUGGAAACACAGGGUAAUACCGAAUAAGCUGACGGGACUUUGGUUUUGUUAGUAAAGGUGCUACGGCACCGCCUUGAGAGGAGCCUGCGGCUGAUUAGCUAGUUGGUGGGGGAAAGGCCUACCAAGGCGACGAUCAGUAGCCGGCCUGAGAGGGUGUACGGCAACACUGGGACGGAGACACGGCCCAGACUCCGACGGGAGGCAGCAGCUAAGAAUCGUCCGCAAUGGGCGAAAGCCUGACGGAGCGAUGCCGCGUGAUCGAUGAAGGUCGAGAGAUUGUAAAGAGCUGUUCUACAUGAGGAAUAAGUCUGGGAGGGAAUGCCUGGAUGAUGACGUUAGUGUAGGAAUAAGCCCCGGCUAAUUACGUGCCAGCAGCCGCCGUAA
rnacentral:rRNA from 1 species